CACGUAGGGCGCGAGCGUUGUCCGGAAUUACUGGGCGUAAAGGGCGCGUAGGCGGCCUGUUAAGUCGAACGUGAAAUCCCCGGGCUCAACCCGGGGAACUGCGUCCGAUACUGGCAGGCUUGAAUCCGGGGAGAGGGAUGCGGAAUUCCAGGUGUAGCGGUGAAAUGCGUAGAUAUCUGGAGGAACACCGGGUGGCGAAGGCGGCAUCCUGGACCAACACUGACGU
rnacentral:rRNA from 1 species